rnacentral:rRNA from 1 species
AUUGAACGCUGGCGGCAGGCCUAACACAUGCAAGUCGAGCGGAUGAAGGGAGCUUGCUCCUGAAUUCAGCGGCGGACGGGUGAGUAAUGCCUAGGAAUCUGCCUGGUAGUGGGGGAUAACGUCCGGAAACGGGCGCUAAUACCGCAUACGUCCUGAGGGAGAAAGUGGGGGAUCUUCGGACCUCACGCUAUCAGAUGAGCCUAGGUCGGAUUAGCUAGUUGGUGGGGUAAAGGCCUACCAAGGCGACGAUCCGUAACUGGUCUGAGAGGAUGAUCAGUCACACUGGAACUGAGACACGGUCCAGACUCCUACGGGAGGCAGCAGUGGGGAAUAUUGGACAAUGGGCGAAAGCCUGAUCCAGCCACGCCGCGUGUGUGAAGAAGGUCUUCGGAUUGUAAAGCACUUUAAGUUGGGAGGAAGGGCAGUAAGUUAAUACCUUGCUGUUUUGACGUUACCAACAGAAUAAGCACCGGCUAACUUCGUG